AUUGAACGCUGGCGGCAGGCCUAACACAUGCAAGUCGAACGGUAGCACAGAGAGCUUGCUCUCGGGUGACGAGUGGCGGACGGGUGAGUAACGUCUGGGAAACUGCCCGAUGGAGGGGGAUAACUACUGGAAACGGUAGCUAAUACCGCAUAAAGUCGCAAGACCAAAGUGGGGGGCCUUCGGGCCUCACACCAUCGGAUGUGCCCAGAGGGGGUUAGCUAGUAGGUGGGGUAAUGGGUCACCUAGGCGACGAUCCCAAGCUGGUCUGAGAGGAUGACCAGCCACACUGGAACUGAGACACGGUCCAGACUCCUACGGGAGGCAGCAGUGGGGAAUAUUGCACAAUGGGCGCAAGCCUGAUGCAGCCAUGCCGCGUGUAUGAAGAAGGCCUUCGGGUUGUAAAGUACUUUCAGCGGGGAGGAAGGCGGUGAAGUUAAUAGCUUCACCGAUUGACGUUACCCGCAGAAGAAGCACCGGCUAACUCCGUGCCAGCCGCCGCGGUAA
rnacentral:rRNA from 1 species